CUGAACUUCAUCCCUAAACCCCAUUUUCUCUCAACCCAUUCUCCCCAUUUUCUCUCAAAAUUUCUUCUCCCAUUCUCUCAAAUUCCAUCCUCUUCCUUCCCAAUUGCAAAAUAGUUAAGGUGUAAUAUUUGUGAUUGAAGGAGCAUUUGAAGAAGAUAUUUGAAGAUUGAUAGAGGAAGAUAGAGGCACCUUGAGACCUGAUGAUAGAACUCUAUAUCAAAGAGUUCUCGACGGGGAAGGAGGUUCACGUCCUGUAACUUUAACAGAUGAACAGAGAGAAACCGUAAGAUAAUUGGUGGUAAAUGAGGUGAGGCGUGAGGCGGCAGAACGUGAAGCGACACUGAAAGCCCAAAUAGAGGCCCAAAUGAUGGCAAUGCGGAAUGAUCAUCAGCGGGAAAUGGAGGUCAUGGCGAAAAGACAAUCGGAUAUGGAGGCACAAAUGCGGCAAUUUAUGCAAUCUUUUGGUGGAAACCAAAAUAUGGGGAGUUUUGCGCCGACUGAUCAGGAAAAUCUAAAUGAUGA